UGAACGCUGGCGGCAGCCUAACACAUGCAAGUCGAACGGUAACAGGAAGCAGCUUGCUGCUUCGCUGACGAGUGGCGGACGGGUGAGUAAUGUCUGGGAAGCUGCCUGAUGGAGGGGGAUAACUACUGGAAACGGUAGCUAAUACCGCAUAAUGUCGCAAGACCAAAGAGGGGGACCUUCGGGCCUCUUGCCAUCGGAUGUGCCCAGAUGGGAUUAGCUUGUUGGUGGGGUAACGGCUCACCAAGGCGACGAUCCCUAGCUGGUCUGAGAGGAUGACCAGCCACACUGGAACUGAGACACGGUCCAGACUCCUACGGGAGGCAGCAGUGGGGAAUAUUGCACAAUGGGCGCAAGCCUGAUGCAGCCAUGCCGCGUGUAUGAAGAAGGCCUUCGGGUUGUAAAGUACUUUCAGCGGGGAGGAAGGGAGUAAAGUUAAUACCUUUGCUCAUUGACGUUACCCGCAGAAGAAGCACCGGCUAACUCCGUGCCAGCAGCCGCGGUAAUACGGAGGGUGCAAGCGUUAAUCGGAAUUACUGGGCGUAAAGCGCACGCAGGCGGUUUGUUAAGUCAGAUGUGAAAUCCCCGGGCUCAACCUGGGAACUGCAUCUGAUACUGGCAAGCUUGAGUCUCGUAGAGGGGGGUAGAAUUCCAGGUGUAGCGGUGAAAUGCGUAGAGAUCUGGAGGAAUACCGGUGGCGAAGGCGGCCCCCUGGACGAAGACUGACGCUCA
rnacentral:rRNA from 1 species